rnacentral:tRNA from 1 species
UUUGAGAUGGCAGAUAAGUGCGAUGGAUUUAAGCUCCAUAUAUAAAGGUUUAAACCCUUUUCUUAAAA